UACGGAGGUGGCAAGCGUUGUUCGGAAUUACUGGGCGUAAAGGGCGCGUAGGCGGCAAGGCAAGUCAGGUGUGAAAGCCCCGAGCUUAACUCGGGAAUUGCAUCUGAAACUGCUGUGCUUGAGUUCUGGAGGGGGUAGUGGAAUUCCCAGUGUAGCGGUGAAAUGCGUAGAUAUUGGGAGGAACACCAGUGGCGAAGGCGGCUCUCUGGACAGGUACUGACGCUGAGACGCGAAAGCGUGGGUAGCAAACAGG
rnacentral:rRNA from 1 species